rnacentral:rRNA from 1 species
UACGUAGGAUGCGAGCGUUAUCCGGAAUUAUUGGGUGUAAAGCGUGUGUAGGCGGGAAAUUAAGUCUAAGGUCUAAGCCCGGAGCUCAACUCCGGAUCUCCUUAGAAACUGAUUUUCUUGAGUAUGGUAGAGGCAAACGGAAUUUCUAAUGUAGCGGUAUAAUGCGUAGAUAUUAGUAGGAACACCAGUGGCGAAGGCGGUUUGCUGGGCCAAAACUGACGCUGAGACACGAAAGCGUGGGGAGCAAAUA